AUCCAGCUGACGAGUCCCAAAUAGGACGAAACACGCUUCAUGGAU
rfam:Schistosoma rodhaini strain Burundi genome assembly, scaffold: SROB_scaffold0000561